GUGCUCGUAGCGUAAUGGGCAGGGUGCUGGGCUCAGAACCGAAAGGCUGUGGGUUCGAUUCCCAGUCGGGGCACU
rnacentral:tRNA from 1 species